rnacentral:rRNA from 1 species
UACGAAGGGGGCUAGCGUUGCUCGGAAUUACUGGGCGUAAAGGGCGCGUAGGCGGCACUGUUAGUCAGGCGUGAAAGUCCUGGGCUCAACCUGGGAACUGCGCUUGAUACGGCAGAGCUAGAGGAUGGAAGAGGGAAGCGGAAUUUCCGGUGUAGCGGUGAAAUGCGUAGAUAUCGGAAGGAACACCAGUGGCGAAAGCGGCUUCCUGGUCCAGCACCGACGUUCAGGCACGAAAGCGUGGGGAGCAAACAGG